CGUCAAAGAUUCCUUUGAUUUUGCUUCAUAUUUGAGACGCCCAAUGUUGUCAGUACAUAUAAUUGCUUUGGGAUUUAGAUAAAGGUUUAGAGAUUAUUGUGUAUAGAGGGGAGUAAUAACUACGGUCAUUAGACAUAGUUACUUUGGGUCAACUUUUUGGGGUAAGAUUUGGGUAAAAUUAGCGAUACACGUUUUAUAGAUGUGACAUAGUUCUAGACAUCAAUUGCUUCAGUUUGCUUGGCUUACUGUCAACCAAGGUUAAUUUCUGGUGGCUUGCUAGGUCACGUGUACAUGUAGUUGUUAAUGAGGAAAUAAUUCACGGACACAAUUCCAUCAGUUUGGGGAUCAAAUCAGUCAGUUUAAUUCAUUUAGUUUUCAUUGUAAUUGAUUCAUAUGUGCCCAAGUGUAUUUUGGCAUGAUUCUAGAGACUUACUGUAUUUUCUGGUUUGUAUUACUUGCAGAUUGAACCGUACGUACAUACGUAGUCAUAGUUGGUACUGGUACAAUACAAGGGUGAACAGUAAUUCGUCAUCAAGGGAGUUCUUUUUGUCGUCAUCCGUCACUCAGACCAAGGGACAAACUUUGAGUCGGCUGUCUUUGCUGAGAUGUGUCGGGUUUUGGGCAUAUCCAAAAGUCGAACUAAAGCGCACAACCCAAAGUCCGAUGGACUGGUUGAGCGAUUCAAUAAGACUUUGACCAACAUGGUUGCUGUGAUGAUUGAACCAAAGAGGAAACAACGUGACUGGGAUGAGUGUCUGCCAUAUCGUCGAUCGCACCACGAUCCGGCGUAUCCUCGUUUUUUGGGCAAAGUGACAUUUUGCUACAUUAAUGAAAAUAUGAUUGAAAUGAAUGAUUUAACCCAAUUACAAGCUUGUCAGGUCUUUAAUUAAAGAAUUAUAGAAACUAACAAAAAAGUCAUUUGCGGAAAAAUCAGCCACAUUAUUUUCACGAACCGUCGCAUAAGUUCACAUCUCAAUGCCAAUCUAAGAAAAAGAAAACGAUCGUCUAACAAAGAGACGUAUCCCGAUACGUCUCGUGCAGAAAACAAAACAAGCCACUUUUAUUGUGCGCCCUCUGUCAAAAUACGACGUUUAGCUCACGUUGAACCUCGUACACAGAGUCGAACAAUAAUGGUACGGUACGGCCUAGUAAGCCUAUGCUUAGUUUUGCUUAGUACGAGGGUGAGAAGUUGACUCUGGUUUUACCGUGGUUGACCAGGCCUGGCUUCGCGGCGAAAUGGCUGAAAACAGCACCUUGCCCCCCAAAAAGGCAGCUUUAAACAGCAGAGGUAAGUACGUCAUAGGUAAAGACCACUUUCAAUAAUCAAUGCUUAAACAUGAAUGAAAGUAAUCAAGUUCUAUGGUGAAAAAAUCUCUGAGCAGGCCAAGCUUUAGCCUACCACGGUAGGCCCGUACUACUAGCCCUUAGACUAACGUUGUCGGAAGUUGAUUAAUCUUUAACGUUACAUUUGAGUUUGACAAAUAUCGUAUUUUUAAAUGUACUUGUGAAAUGAGCAGAGUGAGGUGUGGCACACAAUGCCGUACUGUUGGUAGGCUCACCCUCCCAUUACAAUGGUGCACGUUAGGCCUUUGCCUGGGCCCUCAUUAGUCAAGGCUAAAUCAAGACACUACAUGGUACAAGAUGGGAUUUUCCCCUAAGUAUCAUGUACUUAUAGCAGUUAGUUGCCAGAUGACUAUUAAAUAUGUCUUCUUUGUGUUUCUAGGUCAUGUGAUGUUUUGAUAGAAUGGACUGACAGAUCAGGAAAUGUUGUAUCAUCCAAGGAUUUGUCAUUCAAUAAACCACUACGUCACAAUCAGCAUGUGCGGAUGAAGUGGGGGAAAACCUGGUGGAGGGGCAAGGUGCUCAAUUUUGAGCAAGGAGGAUGUAACGAAUCAUCUGAGGGAUCAUCUGAGGAAUCAGGGAACUCAGAAGACUCUAAGGAUGACUCCGACAGUGACUUGGAUGAUGUGCCACUGACACAGCUGAAGUCAUUAACUGCAUCCAAACCCAGUUAUUGUCCCAUGACACACCAUUAUUUGUCCUCAAUGCUAUUGAUUAAAUUUCAAAAAUAUGAUAGCGCACCUGUUGUAUGUGUGGUUGGCAAAUUGCCUAACUUCUUGUAAUGUUUUUAUACCCACAAAUUUUCUUGUCACUUGCAGAACCGUUUGAUGGAUCCUGGGGUAUUAAAGCUUCAGAGGAUAACAUGGACGAUGUAUGAUCAGCACAGCUUCAGACAAGUCUGGUUUCUAAUAAAAGUGAGUGACACUGAAAUGGGUUUUGUUUUGAUGUACUUGAAGUUUAUUCCAUGAAUACAUAGCAAGCAAAGGGUAGAUGAAGAUCCCAUAUGUAUUGAGGACAAAAAAUUCAAAACAAAUCGUGUAUAGGGAAACUGACUAGGUGCUGGUAAAUCAACUUGAACACAGGAAAGAUGUGCAAAGAAACUUGAUGAGAGCUGGAAUUUAACCUGCGACCUCUGCUUUACUGUACCGGCACUCUACUACUGAGAUCAGUUAGUAGGGCGCUGGUACAUUUAUUUAGAUGUCACAGGUUUGAGUCCCACUCUAUUCAAUGUUAUUUGCACAUCUUUCAUAUAGACACUUUUUUAGAUUGAUAUUGUUCCAUAUUCUUACAACUAGCAUUUUCCUGACCAUUUGACUUUAGUUAUUGAUGGAGAAAGUCUGUUCAUCACCCCCGUGAUGGAAUCACACUUUUGCAGGGCCAACACAGGUUAUCAGUAUCUAUCUGUCACCAGACUUGAACAUAAGUAAAAUGUACAGGUUGUAUCUAAAUGAGCAUCAUAACAGUAGCAGAAAAGCUUCUCUAGGCUUCUACUCAAAAAUCUUCAAAAAGAUGAAACUAAAGUUUCACACACCAAAAAAAAAAGAUCUGUGCGGUGUAUGUGAGGCAUACAGAAAAGGGUCAGAGGAAGAAAGAAAACGAAUAGGUUUCGAGUAUGAAAAACAUAUCCAAGAAAAAUCCAAAUCUCGAGAACUGAAAGAUGAGAUGAAGAAGAAUGCAAUAGCAAAUCCUAAUACGUUUGUCGCAUCGGUGUUUGAUUUGGAACAGGUUUUGUGUUUGCCUAAAUCAGGCAGAGGGGAGUUGUUUUACAAACGUAGGCUAUCAUGUUACAAUUUCACCAUUUGCUUGGUGAUGUCAUAAUUUCUUGAAGUCCAGUCACAGUUCUGUAAACCAGGUUCAAAAAUUAAAUUGAAUGCAUGUAUUAUUAUGUAGUCAAUGUUACACAUACCGCCUUUUAUUAUCUUGUUGGCCUAAUCACUCAUGAAGAUUUACAUUUUAAUGGGCUUGCAGGGGCAAUAAAAAGCUGUUUAUUAUA